rnacentral:rRNA from 1 species
ACUCCUACGCGAGGCAGCAGUGAGGAAUCUUCCACAAUGGGGGAAACCCUGAUGGAGCAACGCCGCGUGCAGGAUGAAGGCCUUCGGGUCGUAAACUGCUUUUAUAAGUGAAGAAUAUGACG